rnacentral:tRNA from 2 species
UGUAAAGUGCCUGAAUAAAGGAUAAUUUUGAUAGAAUUAAUCAUGUGUAAUAUUACACCUUUACAA